rnacentral:rRNA from 1 species
UAAGGAAUAUUGGACAAUGGGCGCAAGCCUGAUCCAGCCAUGCCGCGUGAAGGAUGAAGGUGCUCUGCAUUGUAAACUUCUUUUGUUUGGGAAUAAACCCCUCUACGUGUAGAGGGCUGAAUGUACCAAAAGAAUAAGGGUCGGCUAACUUCGUGCCAGCAGCCGCGGUAAUACGAAGGACCCAAGCGUUAUCCGGAUUUAUUGGGUUUAAAGGGUGCGUAGGCGGGUUAUUAAGUCAGUGGUGAAAGCCUGCAGCUUAACUGCAGAAUUGUCAUUGAUACUGAUGAUCUUGAGUAUGAUUGAGGUGGGCGGAAUGUGUCAUGUAGCGGUGAAAUGCUUAGAUAUGACACAGAACACCGAUUGCGAAGGCAGCUCACUAAGCCAUAACUGACGCUGAUGCACGAAAGCGUGGGGAGCAAAC